ensembl:lncRNA
CUGCAUGUCCUUGCAAGAAGGCUGCCUUGGGACCACCUUGGGUUGAACACAUUGAGGCCAUCCAUCCACCAUCUCACACACCAUCCCCUUGGAGCACCGAACGUCACUACAGGUGGGUCUCCUGAUGGAACUCUUCGUCUGGACACACUGGGGCCAACCAUUGACCAUCUGGCACACGGUUCCCUUCUGACAUUGGACAUCCUGGCAGGAGGGCUGGUUCUGCACACAGUGGGGCCACCCAUCUCUUAUCCUACACGAUGUCCCUUUGGGACACUGCAUGUCCUUGCAAGAAGGCUGCCUUGGGGCCACCUUGGGUUGCAAACAUUGAGGCCAUCCAUCCACCAUCUCACACACCGUCCCCUUGGAACAGUGGAAAUCACUACAGGUGGGUCUCCUGAUGGAAGUCUUAAUUUGGACGCACUGUGGCCAACCAUCCACCAUCACACACUCCGUUCCCUUCUGACAUUGGACAUCCUGGCAGGAGGGCUGGUUCUGCACACAGUGGGGCCAUCCAUCUCUUAUCCGACAUGAGGUCCCUUUGGGACACUGCACGUCCCUGCAGGAAGGUUGCCUUAUUGUCGUCUUGGGUUGGACACACCGUGGCCAACCAUCCACCAUCUGGCAUGUGGAUCCCUUCUGGCACUGGAUGUCACUGCAGGUAGGUUGAUUUUGG